GCAGGUUGGAACGCAAACCCAGUCUGGCCACGUCCCGUGAAGUUGUGGACAAAAUGUUUCAGUUUCUGUUCACCUCUGGUGUGGGGGAAAGUGAAGGAAGAGAAUGAAGGUGAGUCCCCGCCGUUGCAAACCUUCACCAAACCACGCGGCCCAGUUUUCGUGAGUACCCCUGUGUCCCAGAGAGGAGGACCCAGCGUCCUCGGCUCUGCCGCAGGCCUUCUUGGUCUGGUGGGUACUCGAGGCAGUUGAGAACCUUGCUGAGCUGAGCGGGCACCUCGCCUUGCCUGCUGGUUCGACACCUGACCCCCUCCCCCUGGGAUUAUGUACACGCAUCAUUGGGCUUCAUGGAUGUGGAAAGGGGAGCAAAGGAUGGUUUGGGGGGUACGUCCGGCUUUAGCGAGGGCGUACGCUUCAGCCCCGACCUUGUCAGUGAGUUGUAGGCGUUGAGGCUGGGCUGCCUCGAGACAGUCACGGCCUGGCCAGAUGGCUGGGAGCUGUGCACCUGGAUGGAGUCCACCCUCUGCGGGGCGGGCGGCGGGUUGUCUCCCCUGCCAAAGCUCUGGUUUCUGGAGAGGUGAGAGGAAUUGGAGGAGUUAGUGUUGUUUCUUUUGAGAGUGGUGGCCUGGUGGCUUCUCGUGAGCGAGUUCGUGGGGUAGCUCCUCUUAUAGUCAACCCCGUAGGAAGAGGAGUGGUGCAUUUCCAGCCGCUUGCUUAGACCGGUCUGAGACAGGGAGGCUCCCGGGGGACCCAGGGAGGCCUCCCGCUGUGGAACUUUGGGGGGCAGGCUGUCCAGGUUCUCCACAAGGUUCACCCCAUGGUUGGGACUCUUGCUGCUGAGAUGUUCCUUGAUGGUCUUAUACUCCAGUGUGGCGGCCUGGUCCUCCAGCGCCAUCUGGGCCACCUCGCUCAUUUUGGGCUGGUCCACGUACUCAUGCUGGUAGCCCUGCUGCGUGAUGGGCAGGACCACCACGCUGGGGAUGUGGCUGGGGGAGGCCCGCAGGGGCAGGUCCGUGGGAAUCACAGGGGAGCCCAUGGGGGGCAUGUCCUUUGUGCAGGCAUUGAUGAGGUUCUGGUUCCUCUCCCACUCGCGGCUGCCGCGGCUGGGCUUCCGCUUCUGCUGCAGCGUUGGGGUUGACUCUGGGGUGGGGAGGGCCGUCAGGUCCAGGUGGUGCUGGUCUGCUUUAAUGAGCAUCUUGGCCGUGUUGCCGGGAGUGGCGAGCUUGCCGUUGUGCAUGAGUGGCGUGAGGAUGGCCUCCGGCUUUGGGUCUUUGGAUUGAGUGUCCCCAAAGAGGCCGCUGAGCUUGGUGACGCUGCUCAUGGAGCCCCGGCGCGAGUGGGUGAGCUCCUUCUCCUUGCGCUGCACCACAGCCACGUCUUUGCGCCGAUGAUCACAGACGCAGUAGACGGUGAUGCCCGAGAAGACGGCCCCCAUGACGAAAGCCAGGAUGACUGCAAUGGCCAAGAGGGUGACGGGAACCAGCUGGUCGUGGCCUUUGAGGGUCCUCCUCCCUUCAAUUGUGACAUCACAGUUGGUUGCUGUGGAAAUGAUUGU
rnacentral:lncRNA from 1 species